rnacentral:rRNA from 1 species
GACGAACGCUGGCGGCGUGCCUAAUGCAUGCAAGUCGCACGGGUCUCCUCGGGGAGUUAGGGGCGAACGGGUGGGGAACAAGUGGGGAACCAUUCUUUAAUGGGGGACAAACCCGCGGAAGCCGUUCUAAACCCGGAUACGCUCCGGGGAAGGAAACCGGGCAACAAGCGGCGGAGACUGGCCCUUCGGCCCAUCAGGUUGUUGGCGGGGUAACGGCCCCCCCAGGCCGGGACGGGGCGCUGGUCUGUGAGGACGACCAGCCAGACUGGGACUGAGAUCCGGCCCAGACUCCUACGGGAGGCAGCAGCAAGGAAUUUUCGGCAAUGGGCGCAAGCCUGACCGAGCAACGCCGCGUGCGGGAUGACGGCCUUCGGGUUGUAAACCGCUUUUGGGGGGGAAGAAACAGACGGUACCCCCCGAAUCAGCCCCGGCUAACUCUGUG